rnacentral:rRNA from 1 species
CACACUAUCAUUAACUGAAUCCAUAGGUUAAUGAGGCGAACCGGGGGAACUGAAACAUCUAAGUACCCCGAGGAAAAGAAAUCAACCGAGAUUCCCCCAGUAGCGGCGAGCGAACGGGGAGGAGCCCAGAGCCUGAAUCAGCAUGUGUGUUAGUGGAAGCGUCUGGAAAGGCGCGCGAUACAGGGUGACAGCCCCGUACACAAAAGCGCAUGUGCUGUGAGCUCGAUGAGUAGGGCGGGACACGUGGUAUCCUGUCUGAAUAUGGGGGGACCAUCCUCCAAGGCUAAAUACUCCUGACUGACCGAUAGUGAACCAGUACCGUGAGGGAAAGGCGAAAAGAACCCCGGCGAGGGGAGUGAAAAAGAACCUGAAACCGU